ACGUAGGGGGCGAGCGUUGUCCGGAAUGAUUGGGCGUAAAGGGCGCGUAGGCGGCCUGUUAAGUCUGGAGUGAAAGUCCUGUUUUCAAGAUGGGAAUUGCUUUGGAUACUGAUGGGCUUGAGUGCAGGAGAGGUUAUCGGAAUUCCCGGUGUAGCGGUGAAAUGCGUAGAGAUCGGGAGGAACACCAGUGGCGAAGGCGGGUAACUGGACUGCAACUGACGCUGAGGCGCGAAAGUGUGGGGAGCAAACAGGAUUAGAUACCCUGGUAGUCCACACUGUAAACGAUGAAUGCUAGGUGUAGGGGGUAUCGACCCCUUCUGUGCCGCAGUCAACACAAUAAGCAUUCCGCCUGGGGAGUACGGCCGCAAGGUUGAAACUCAAAGGAAUUGACGGGG
rnacentral:rRNA from 1 species